ensembl:lncRNA
UUCAAGCAGUAGGUACUCAGGUGAAAACUGUAAGCAGUUGUAAGUGUCGGAGCCUGUGUGAUACCUAUACUACAAAAAGAGUAUGCAGUUCUAGCAGUAGGUGCAGAUGAAACCUCAGUGUGGGGAUGGAGGGAGAGGAGAGGACUGAGAACCCAAUGUCGGGCAGAGCCUAGGAUGAAGAGGAAGUCUCAGGCUCUCGAAGAGGGAUCCUAGGGGCAUAAUUAGGAGUGAUGAGAGAAAUGAUCGAGAGCGGGGGUGCAGAUGAAGCUUGCAGGAGGUCAAGGGACUGAUCUCAAAGGGGCUGAGUCCUGAGGAGGGCAUUGACCUUGUUCAGUGACAGCAUAGGAGGAUGAAAAGCUGUGAGCAUGUAUUUCAGAGUUCCAACACUUAGAAGUAAAGCAAAAAUUCCAAGUAUUGACAGUGACUAUCCUUGCAAUGACUUUGCUUGUGAGUGACUGGAGUGGCCUGGUGAUAAAGGCCUGUGGUAUAGUGUUUUGUGGCACAGUUCUUGUAAUUGGGACUGUGGAAGUCACCAAGGGUAUUGACAGGAACUGGGGAGGAGAAGAAAAUAUAUGAGUUACACAUUGAGUCCAUCAGAAGCUUUUUAUGGUCAACUAGAAAAGGGGGCUUCCCUGGUGGCUCAGAUGGUAAAGAAUCUGCCUGCAAUACAGGUGACCUGGGUUUGAUCCCUGGGUCGGGCAAAUCCCUUGGUGAGAAUACCCACCUCAGUAUGCCUGCUGGAUUAGCCCCAUGGACAGAAAGGAGCCUGGAAGACUACAAUCCAUGGGGUCGCAGAGAGUUGGAACUGAGCAAAUGAGCCCACAUAGAGAAAGAAAAAGCUAUCAAAACAGUUUAACCUAUUUCUGGAUCUGUUUACCAAAGAAGAUUAUGAAGAGUUUAAAGAUGGAAUUUUAACUUGUCAUAAUUAUAUGGUUUGUUAGAAUUAGAACUUUAACAGUUGAGCAGAAGAAACUGUGCUUUUUAUCAAUUAGUGUUUCUUUGAAAAUUAAUAAAAAUUUUAAAUGUUG